GACGAACGCUGGCGGCGUGCUUAACACAUGCAAGUCGAACGGUAAGGCCCUUCGGGGUACACGAGUGGCGAACGGGUGAGUAACACGUGGGUGAUCUGCCCUGCACUUCGGGAUAAGCCUGGGAAACUGGGUCUAAUACCGGAUAGGACCACUGCCUGCAUGGGUGGUGGUGGAAAGCUUUUGCGGUGUGGGAGGGGCCCGCGGCCUAUCAGCUUGUUGGUGGGGUGAUGGCCUACCAAGGCGACGACGGGUAGCCGGCCUGAGAGGGUGACCGGCCACACUGGGGCUGAGCGACGGCCCAGACUCCUACGGGAGGCAGCCGUGGGGAAGAUUGCACAAUUGGCGCAAGACUGACGCAGCGACGCCGCGUGAGGGAUGCCGGCCUUCGGGUUGGAAACCUCUUGCACCACCGACGAAGCGCAAGUGACGGUAGGUGCAGAAGAAGGACCGGCCAACUACGUGCCAGCAGCCGCGGUAA
rnacentral:rRNA from 1 species